UGGGGAAUAUUGGACAAUGGGCGAAAGCCUGAUCCAGCCAUGCCGCGUGUGUGAAGAAGGUCUUCGGAUUGUAAAGCACUUUAAGUUGGGAGGAAGGGUUGUAGAUUAAUACUCUGCAAUUUUGACGUUACCGACAGAAUAAGCACCGGCUAACUCUGUGCCAGCAGCCGCGGUAAUACAGAGGGUGCAAGCGUUAAUCGGAAUUACUGGGCGUAAAGCGCGCGUAGGUGGUUUGUUAAGUUGGAUGUGAAAGCCCCGGGCUCAACCUGGGAACUGCAUCCAAAACUGGCAAGCUAGAGUACGGUAGAGGGUGGUGUAAUUUCCUGUGUAGCGGUGAAAUGCGUAGAUAUAGGAAGGAACACCAGUGGCGAAGGCGACCACCUGGACUGAUACUGACACUGAGGUGCGAAAGCGUGGGGAGCAAACA
rnacentral:rRNA from 1 species